rnacentral:piRNA from 1 species
UCGGCAUAAGGACCAGCUGUUCUAAAGGUC